CAGUAGCCGCGGGAAUACGGAGGGGGCUAGCGUUGUUCGGAAUUACUGGGCGUAAAGCGCACGUAGGCGGUUUUGUAAGUCAGAGGUGAAAGCCCGGAGCUCAACUCCGGAACUGCCUUUGAGACUGCAUCACUUGAACGUCGGAGAGGUGAGUGGAAUUCCGAGUGUAGAGGUGAAAUUCGUAGAUAUUCGGAAGAACACCAGUGGCGAAGGCGGCUCACUGGACGACUGUUGACGCUGAGGUGCGAAAGCGUGGGGAGCAAACAGGAUUAGAUACCCGCGUAGUCCCUGUCUCUUAUAC
rnacentral:rRNA from 1 species